rnacentral:lncRNA from 1 species
UCCUUCUUCAAGCUUUCUCCUUCCUUCCUCCGGGAGCUCCAAAUCUAUCAACGUAUCCACAUACGACAAAACAUGUUCUUUAUUAUCUUCAUUGACUGUUUCUAAGUUCUCUUCCUUCAUCUUCUUUCGCGCUCUUAUCAAGGGAAUCAAAACAGUUUCCUGAUCUCUACGAAGUUGCAGAAACUCCUCCCACCUUUUCCGAAGAAGAAACUUGGUCACCCUCGGCCAGAAAUUGAGGACGUUGAAUUUUGCAAAACCCAACAGCUGGCGACGCUGAACGUGCUCGAUUUCUUGAAUUUGUUCCUGACUGAGCUUGUCCCCGAAACACAUCAACACC